GUGUUUAUGCCAUCAGUUAGUCUGUAUUGAUCCAGGGCGUAUUUUGUGCAGGUGGGGACCCUGGGAAGUUAGCAGUAAUGGAGAAAAGCGUGGAAUGCUCUCCAGGUAUUAACACCACUGCCACCGCCACCCCGGCCAUAGAACACUGCACAGGGAGAAGGCAACAGAGCAAAACAAGCAUAUUGCAUUUCUCCAGCUGCUCCGGAAGUCCUUGGGACAGGAACCAUGUAAUCCCAUAGUGGCAGCAGUAACAACAAUGGCAACAGCAGCCUGGAGAGCACCGAAAUACUUAAAGCUCUGAGGGAAGCGAGUCUUCCCUCCACUAGAGAAGCUGUGGUCCCAAGAGGGUGGGACAAAAUACCAUUCCCUUUUCUCUCUCUCUGUUCAUACACUGCCUGGUAGGACAGACUCAAGUAUAGCCAUGAGAUGUAUGCAGCAAGGUAGGAAAACUAAAGACCUAGCUUUCUAACCAGAGGACAAAAAAAAUGGGGCUUCAGUGGGCCAAAAAUGCCAGAAUAAUCUCAGAAAGGAGACUGCUCAAGAGAGCAGUUCCAUAUUAACUCCGAGGCUUACUUCUAAGCUGCACAUGGUGUGAGAACUGAACUGUGCAUGAGACUAUGAUCCAGGCCACCAAAUGGCCACUGGGCAACAUACACACAACAGAUUCCCAUAGCACUGCAAAGGCUUUGAAAACUGAACUGAUAUUAGAACCACAGUCCACAGGAGAACUCGAGUCUGGAGCCUAAUUAGAUUGAUUGCCUGCAAAAACAAAACAAAACAAAA
rnacentral:sRNA from 1 species